GAUUCCCCUAGUAACGGCGAGUGAAGCGGGAAGAGCUCAAGCUUAAAAUCUCCGUGCAAGUUUUGUGCGGCGAAUUGUAGUCUAUAGAAGCGUGGUCAGCAUGGGCACUUGGGGCAAGUUCCUUGGAAGAGGACAGCAUGGAGGGUGAUACUCCCGUUCAUUUCUGAGUUGCUCGUGCGUACGACCCGUUUUCUUUGAGUCGCGUUGUUUGGGAAUGCAGCGCAAAGUAGGUGGUAAAUUCCAUCUAAAGCUAAAUAUUGGUGCGAGACCGAUAGCGAACAAGUACCGUGAGGGAAAGAUGAAAAGAACUUUGAAAAGAGAGUUAAAGAGUACCUGAAACUGCUGAAAGGGAACCGAAUCGUUUCCAGUGUCUAUAAUCCGUGGUAUAUUUCAUUGGCGAGUGUGUGCGUGCGUGUGCUGUGGCAGCGGCUUUUUUGGCUGCGCUCGGCGUGUGUGCUGUGUGUGCUUGCUGGUGCUCUGUGCUGCGGUGGGACGUCAAGGUCAGUUCGUAUGCUGCGGGAAAUGGCUGCCGAGGAGGUAGGGCUUACGCUUGCGUUUGUCUGUUAUAUCUUGGUGGACGAGUAGUCGCGGUUGGGACUGAGGUGCCUACAACGUGCUUUUGAGUGGGUUUGUGUCUCCGUGUGCGCCGUGUGCGGAUAGCUUGCUAUGCGUGUGUGGUUGUGUGUGGAUUGAUGCGAGCUUUAACUUGUUGCCGUUCGGGACGUUGACGAAAUGGAGCGAUUCGACCCGUCUUGAAACACGGACCAAGGAGUCUAACAUGUGUGCAAGUGUUAGGGUGUGGAAACCCCAGCGCGAAAUGAAAGUGAAGGGCAGCGUAAGUUGUCUGAGGUAGGAAAUGCUGCGGGCUUCGGUCUGCGGUGUGGCACUAUCGACCGAUCAUGAACCUUCGUGGUGAAAGAUUUGAGUUUGAGCACAUAUGUUGGUACCCGAAAGAUGGUGAACUAUGCCUGAGUAGGGUGAAGCCAGGGGAAACUCUGGUGGAAGCUCGUAGCGAUUCUGACGUGCAAAUCGAUCGUCAAACUUGGGUAUAGGGGCGAAAGACUAAUC
rnacentral:rRNA from 1 species